GUUAAUUUCCUCGAGGCCUCACACAUGUAAGGGAUUUUAUUGCCUGCAGGUGCUUCAUGAUAUUGCAUGGGCUUCUAAUAAACGGCCAGUAAACCGCAGGUAGCGCCUCGGAGGCCGAGGGUUCUGUGCACCUGUCCACGAAGGCAUCCACACACCGUGCCUCUGCCUUCCAAAGCCGGGCCCUGGCACAGGCGGCUCCCAGCUCGACCUGCCCCCAACCUGCCUCUCCGGAUGCCGACAGGUGUUGGGGAUGGAACUCAAGGCCUCGCACACGUUAGGCAAUCGCUCUGCCACUGAGCAACAUCCCCGGCCCGGGAAGCCUAUCUCUCAGCUGCUCCUUAAGGCUAGAGGCUGUGAAUCUCCAACAGGCCCAGGUGGGCUUCUGGGCUCCCAGAGCAUCCAUCCAAGCACCUCCUUUGGGUCUCCAUUCCACCCGCACCAAACUCCUGGGGAAGCAACAAGUUUGAGCCAAGACCCCAUGAUUGAAAUUCCCCAAUAAAUCCCUCCCAGCUGAGGGUCUGUCGCUGCUUUAGCAAGUGGAGAUGGCGGGGGUUGCAAACUUCAAACAGGACUUGGAGGGUGGGGGGUUGUGCUGAGAGAGGAGGCCACUGACCAAGGGCUCUGAGUUAA